rnacentral:rRNA from 1 species
GAUGAACGCUGGCGGCGUGCUUAACACAUGCAAGUCGAACGAUGAAGCCCAGCUUGCUGGGUGGUUUAGUGGCGAACGGGUGAGUAACACGUGAGUAACCUGCCCUUAACUCUGGGAUAAGCCUGGGAAACUGGGUCUAAUACCGGAUAGGAGCGUCCACCGCACGUUGGGUGUUGGACAGAUUUAUCGGUUUUGGAUGGACUCGCGGCCUACCAGCUUGUUGGGGAGGUAAUGGCUCACCAAGGCGACGACGGGUAGCCGGCCUGAGAGGGUGACCGGCGACACUGGGACUGAGAGACGGCGCAGACUCCAACGGGAGGCAGCAGUGGGGAAUAUUGCACAAUGGGCGCAAGCCUGAUGCAGCGACGCCGCGUGAGGGAUGACGGCCUUCGGGUUGUAAACCUCUGUCAGUAGGGAAGAAGCGAAAGUGACGGUACCUGCAGAAGAAGCACCGGCUAACUACGUG